rnacentral:lncRNA from 1 species
AUUUGGUUGUUGUCGUUACAUCUUAAAAUUUAUUUUGUGUGGACAAACUUAAGCAUGGAGGUCAGUUCUCUCCUACCACGUGGUUCCCAGGGAAUCGAACCCAAGUCCUCAAGAUCCAAAGAAGCGUCUUUCUCUGAUUCCUUUUAUCUGGAAGAACUGAGAGGAGACGGGCGAACGGUUGUGAGAAUCUCUUUAAGGGGCAGUCCUGGAAUGAGUGAAGGUCCCUCAAAACACAGAGACCUUGGGACUGGAGAGAUGGCUCAGCGGUUAAGAACACUGACUGCUCUUCCAAAGGUCCUGAGUUCAAUUCCCAGCAACCACAUGGUGGCUCACAACCAUCUGUAAUGAGAUCUGACGCCCUCUUCUGGUCUUCAGACACACAUGUAAGAAACUGCUGUAUA